UACUGUGAACUGCGAAUGGCUCAUUAAAUCAGUUAUCGUUUAUUUGAUAGUACCUUACUACAUGGAUACCUGUGGUAAUUCUAGAGCUAAUACAUGCUACAAACCCCGACUUCAGGAAGGGGUGUAUUUAUUAGAUAAAAAACCAACGCCCUUCGGGGCUCCUUGGUGAAUCAUAAUAACUUAACGAAUCGCAUGGCCUUGCGCCGGCGAUGGUUCAUUCAAAUUUCUGCCCUAUCAACUUUCGAUGGUAGGAUAGUGGCCUACCAUGGUGGCAACGGGUAACGGGGAAUUAGGGUUCGAUUCCGGAGAGGGAGCCUGAGAAACGGCUACCACAUCCAAGGAAGGCAGCAGGCGCGCAAAUUACCCAAUCCCGAUACGGGGAGGUAGUGACAAUAAAUACUGAUACGGGGCUCUUUCGGGUCUCGUAAUUGGAAUGAGAACAAUUUAAAUCCCUUAACGAGGAACAAUUGGAGGGCAAGUCUGGUGCCAGCAGCCGCGGUAAUUCCAGCUCCAAUAGCGUAUAUUAAAGUUGUUGCAGUUAAAAAGCUCGUAGUUGAACCUUGGGCCUGGCUGGCCGGUCCGCCUCACCGCGAGUACUGGUCCGGCUGGGCCUUUCCUUCUGGGGAACCUCAUGGCCUUCACUGGCUGUGGGGGGAACCAGGACUUUUACUGUGAAAAAAUUAGAGUGUUCAAAGCAGGCCUUUGCUCGAAUACAUUAGCAUGGAAUAAUAGAAUAGGACGUGCGGUUCUAUUUUGUUGGUUUCUAGGACCGCCGUAAUGAUUAAUAGGGAUAGUCGGGGGCGUCAGUAUUCAGCUGUCAGAGGUGAAAUUCUUGGAUUUGCUGAAGACUAACUACUGCGAAAGCAUUCGCCAAGGAUGUUUUCAUUAAUCAGGGAACGAAAGUUAGGGGAUCGAAGACGAUCAGAUACCGUCGUAGUCUUAACCAUAAACUAUGCCGACUAGGGAUCGGACGGGAUUCUAUGAUGACCCGUUCGGCACCUUACGAGAAAUCAAAG
rnacentral:rRNA from 1 species